UCCCCGUUGCCGGGGCAGUCUGGCUAGAAAAAUACAACUAACCAUAAGGGUUGCGCUCGUUGAUGGACUUAACCAAACAUCUCACGACACGAGCUGACGACGGCCAUGCAACACCUGUCACUGAGUUCCGGCUCUCAAUACACAAUGAAUUAUUAUGUACUCAGAGCCGGCACUCACUGCUUUCGCAGUAAUUCUCAGGAUGUCAAGCCUUGGUAAGGUUCUUCGCUUACCAUCGAAUUAAACAACACGCUCCACCGCUUGUGCGGGUCCCCGUCAAUUCCUUUGAGUUUUAGUCUUGCGACCGUACUCCCCAGGCGGGAUGCUUAACGCGUUAGCUUCGCUACAUACCGGGUCGAUACGGCAUACAGCUAGCAUCCAUAGUUUACGGCGUGGACUAC
rnacentral:misc_RNA from 1 species